UACAGAGGUCUCAAGCGUUGUUCGGAUUCAUUGGGCGUAAAGGGUGCGUAGGUGGCGGGGUAAGUCAGGUGUGAAAUCUCGAGGCUCAACCUCGAAACUGCACUUGAUACUGCCUUGCUCGAGUACUGGAGAGGAGAUUGGAAUUUACGGUGUAGCAGUGAAAUGCGUAGAUACCGUAAGGAAGACCAGUGGCGAAGGCGAAUCUCUGGACAGUUACUGACACUGAGGCACGAAGGCCAGGGGAGCAAACGGG
rnacentral:rRNA from 1 species